rnacentral:rRNA from 1 species
UCCAGACUCCUACGGGAGGCAGCAGUGGGGGAUAUUGCACAAUGGAGGGAACUCUGAUGCAGCGACGCCGCGUGAGGGAAGAAGGUUUUCGGAUUGUAAACCUCUGUCUUCGGUGACGAAACGAGACGGUAGCCGAGGAGGAAGCCACGGCUAACUACGUGCCAGCAGCCGCGGUAAUACGUAGGGGGCAAGCGUUGUUCGGAAUGACUGGGCGUAAAGGGUGCGUAGGCGGUGUAGCAAGUUAGAAGUGAAAUACCUAGAGCUUAACUCAGGUGCUGCUUCUAAAACUGCUAUACUUGAGUGCAGUAGAGGAAAGUGGAAUUCCUAGUGUAGCGGUGGAAUGCGUAGAUAUUAGGAGGAACAUCAGUGGCGAAGGCGACUUUCUGGACUGUAACUGACGCUGAGGCACGAAAGUGUGGGGAGCAAACAGGAUUAGAUACCCCGGUA